GAAAUUGGCACUGGAACCUUUUUAGACCGCAUCGUUAUUAGCUCAUCUCCUGCUCGUCCCUCAGUUGAUCCAUGCCCAAGGUGUGGCGAGAACUCGAGGGAUAAUGGUGUCAUCCUAUCCUGCAUUGAUUGUUUUCUUGACGGUGGCAAGCUCUACCUCUUUGAGUAUUAUGUCCCAGCGGCAGCCUUUCUCGCCAAACCUCGAGGGGGGACUUGCACCACUGCCAAGUCCGACCCUCCAGAAGAGGUGAUCCACCGUGCUACUUUCCUCCUUGAGAACGGUUUUGGUGACUACAACGUGUUCAAGAACAACUGUGAGGACUUCUCAAUCUACUGUAAAACGGGUCUUCUUGUAACAACUGUCCUCAGUGUUGGUCGGAGCGGGCAGGCGACAUCCUUGUUUGCCGCUGUAAGCACUGCUGUUUCUUUACCACUCCGAUAUUUGAUUGCCGGCUACACUGGCGGGACAGUUUUCGGCUAUGGUUUGUAUUGUGCUAACCGAUAUGCUUCUGAUAUUGGAGUGCGUCGUGAUGCGGCUAGAGUCCCAGUUGAGAGUCUUGUUCGCCGCUGAUACUUACUACCAGCUGCAGCGGCCUGGUGGGUGUGGUGAUAUGGUAUGUAUUGUGUUAGCAGAUAUGUUUCUGAUUUUGGGAGUACGGCGUGAUGUGGUUAAAGUCCUAGUUGAGAGGCUUGUUGGUCAUCCUAUCUUUGAACCAUGCUAGUCUUGCGUCUGAUGAUAUUUGCCAGAGAAUAAUGAGUUUUUCACUCCAGAUUAUUUUUUUUGUUGGGUGCUGUCUUUUUUCUUUGUAUGAUUGUAUCAAGACGUGUCUCAUUACUCAACUGGGUCCUCAUAGAUGUAGAAUUAUGAUUUAAAAGAUGUACCCUGGAUAUUUAUAGGACUCGGAAAUGUGUGUUGAUAUUAUAUUACAAGGAUGCAGUUUAAUUAAAGUUCAACUUGAAAAUAUGCUUUAAUGGAGAUGAACUCAUGAAUAAAUAAAAAACACACGAGGAAACUUGAACUUCAUUAAGUGAAAUCUAAUCAUCCAUCCAAUUGCAUAUUGAUGGAACGUCAGACAAGCAAGUUACAGUUUUAUUCUAAGCCAAAGAAUGGUUUAUCUAAAUUUUUUGAUUACAUACGAUUUUUCUUAUCUCCUCUCUUGAUCAAUAACCUCAAAUCAAAAUUGCUUUUCCCAUGCUAUGUUAAAAGCUUGCUGUAUGUGUAUAAGUUUUUUUUUUUUUUUUUAAAAGCUGUAUUUGCAUGGUCAGUUAAGAAUAACUAAAAAUUAAUAUAAUUUUGGUAGAAGGAUAAAAUAGCAGAUGUAAAAGUGGAACUUGUGAAGAACAAAAGAGGGGUUUUAGUAACACCACUUUAGAAGAAAUCUGCUACGAAGCCCACUAGCAAACCAAACCAGUCCAAAAAAAUCUAUUAGCCCAAAGAACUGAAGAUAUCAAAUUGUGAAAAUUGAAACUGAAAAAGCGUUAAUAAAAUAAAAGAGACUCCUAGUUGAAACAGUGAAAGAGAGAUAAAGUGCACAUAAUUUUAUAUAUUUUUAGGAUCAGCAAGCAUGACAAACAGCUCACUGUUUAGUCAAGUAAAAUUUUGAAUUUGUUAUAAUAUUUUAAAUGAAAUCUCCUUUUAGUAAAACAAAAUAUUAAUAAUAAUAACAAAAAUAACGAGAACUAAAUUUCAAAUUAAAAUUUGAAAUUUAAAACUUGUAAAUUGUAAUUAAUAAACGAGUAAUGUAUUUUGCUUGUAAUUCUUAAAAACCCCUUGGUAGUUAGUAGUAAUUACCCUCACGCCAAAUACGUUAAUGUUCAAAAUAAAAUUAAAUUAAAGAUUAAAAAUUAAAAUUCCUUUCAGUUUCAGAUUAAAGAAAGCAAAAUAACGAAGGAAGAAGAGACCAGAGAGCCUUACAAGCAAAGGAAACGAUUAGCGCCUCUCUCUCUCUCUCUCUCUCUCUCUCUCUCUCUUGUUUCUUUGUGGUCUUACGAAGAGAGAGAAACAAGCACGUUGGGUGGAAUGGGUUUGUUCUCAAAUAAGAUCAAGAGAGAGGAGCUCAAAGCUGGCGAUCACAUUUAUUCUUGGCGAAACGCCUACGUUUAUGCCCAUCACGGUUGUUUCUUUUUUCUUUUCUUAAUAGAAACUGUUGUGAUUCUCUCCUAGUGCUAAUCCGUCAGUUUAAUCACUUAUCUAUUGGGUUACUUUUGGUUACAUUUGAAUUGCAUUUGAAUAAGCUAAUAGUUUAUUUUAAGUAGUUAAUUGUCAUUAGGGAGGUUAUGUUUGAAUUAUUUUUUAGUCAUUUUUCACUUCCAAGUUUUUAUCAAGAACUAAAUCUUGACCUUUAAUACUUUCUCAAGAUGUAUGAUGGCAGUUGGGUUUUCAUCAAUUUUGGAUUUUGAAAUUUACCCUGGGAAAUUUUAUGUUUGUUAAUUUUUAUUUUGGUUGACAUGUUUCUUAUAAUUAUUGGAAUUUAGUAGGUGAAGGCGUGAAGCUCUGACUUUAAGCUGUAUUGGCUUGGUGUUUUUAUGUGUAUUUUUACUCUUUAUUUCUAUGGAUUUCUUGCACUUAUGUUGAAUCAUAAACCUGCUUUGCCUUAGGUUUAUGUGAAAAAAUGUUGGUGGACUUGUUAUCUGUGUGUUAUUUUAGACUUGAUUGAGUAUUAUUCAGAUGGAUUAAGGGUACAAUUGUCAGUAUAGCAAGUUGUCUUCACAAUUGCAGUUUGGAAAAGUGUAUUGAUUAUUUGGAAGUAAAGAAGACUUUGAAUUUUGCUUGUUUCCGGUUUGGAGAAUUUUCCUUGUGAUAGAUAUUAGUCAAAACCAUGUUGUCAUUAAUGGCAUAGAUGAACUUCAGUGGUAUACGGACAUGCCUAUUUUCAAUUUUAAGAGUGCUAAAAUCUCAGUUUUAUCUCUUGCUCUCUAUGGGUUUCACACCCAUGUAGUUUGAAUUGUAUACGUGAAUAUCUAUUGUGUAUUUGAGAUCGUUGAACUGUGACCCAAAUAUGAAGUUUUGAAGUACUGAGUGACUCAAAUUAAAUAAUUGGUUAUGUCAAAUGAAAAGCAGCAACUGUAGAACACAAGCCACAAAGACUAAUGCUUCUUUUCCAAUUUAGACUAUUGAUUGAACUUAUCACAACUUUCUUAAUUUUGACAACGUUUGGUGGAGUCUAGUUGCACUUCUCCUAAAUCUAAUACUUAGAAGGAUUCUUUAUUUUCAUGAGAUGUUUCGUUCAAGUAAUUGUUGAUUCAGUCUUCCUACUGAACCUGAUAUGGACAGUGCAGAUAUUUUUCCUCAAACAGAAUAUACCUUCAUUGGUUGGUAAUUAGACUAUUCAAUUCACUUUCAUGGACAAACUUUUAAAUAUCAUGUGCAAGCUGCAUUGUAUGUACCAAUCAGCAAGUGAAAUUUUGAAAAACCUUUUAGCAUAGGAUUAUAAGAUUCAAUAAUAGUUUUGCCAACUUACACUUCCAAUAUGAACCAGGAGUAUAUGUUGGUGAUGGAAUGGUGAUCCAUUUCACUCGGGGAGCAGGUCAGGAAAUUGGCACUGGAACUGUUUUAGACCGUAUCAUUUUUAGUUCAUCUCCUGCUCGUCCUUCAGAUAAUCCAUGUCCCAGGUGUGGUGAUUACUGGAGGGAUGAUGGAGUCAUCCUAUCCUGCAUUGACUGUUUUCUUUACGGUGGGGAGCUUUACCUCUUUGAGUAUGAUGUCUCACCAGCUCUCUUUCUCGCCAAACCUCGAGGAGGGACUUGCACACUUGCCAAAUCUGAUCCACCAGAAGAUGUCGCCCAUCGUGCCAAUUUCCUCCUCCAGAAUGGUUUUGGUGUCUACCAUGUGUUCAGGAACAACUGUGAGGACUUUGCAAUCUACUGUAAAACAGGUCUUCUUGUGAUAACUAGCCUCAGCGUUGGUCGGAGUGGGCAGGCAGCAUCCUUGCUAGCUGCUGUAAGUGCUGUUGUUUCUUCACCGCUCCGAUACUUGACUACCAGCUGCACUGGCCUGGCAGCAGUGGGUUAUGGAAUGUAUUGUGUUAGCCGAUUGGUUUCUGAUAUUGGAGUACGACGUGAUGUGGCUAGAGUCCCCGUUGAGAGGCUUGUUGCCCAUCCUAGUUUAGACGAUGCAAGUCUGGCAUCUGAUAAUAACGCCAAAGAAGGAUGAUAUAUUGACUCCCAAUUAUCUUUUUGGAUGUGUCUUUUGUUGUUGUAUUAAGUGUCUCAUUGAUCAUUGGAUGUAUCUUUGUUGUACUAAGUGUCUCAUUGGUCAAUUGGGUCCUUCAAAACGUAGAAAUAUGCUCUUCAUUGUAAUGGGAUAUUUAUUUGUAUCCAUUAGCCUCACUCCUGACUUCUGUUUAAAACUAGAAUAUGAGUUUUUUUUUUUUUAAUAUUACAUUACAAUGAUACAGCUCAAUCAAAACCCAGCUUGAUAAUUUGCUCCAAUAAACGAACCCUUGAGAUGAGAAGGUGACAAUCUCCAAGUCUCAGGAGCGGUUACUGGUUGAGCUGUAAUUCACAGUUUCACAUACACAUAAUUUUUCUUGUAUCCUCUCUUAAUCAGUCACCUUAAUCGAAAAUUACUUCUUCUUAUUACCACUACUACACUAUCUUGCUAGUGGGACACCUUUUUUUCUAUUUUUUUUGCCAGAAUAUAGAUGUGUUUUUUUUUUUUUUUUUUGUUCAACUAAGUCUAAGAAGAUAAAAAUCCUAAUUUUUGUAACAUAAUAAAAAAAAUCAAAACUAAGAUAGAGAAAACAUUAAAGUGAAAUUUUGGAGCAAGGGAGGCUGAAACUCUUGGCAUCCGAGAGGCCCUUAGUUGGCUUAAAGGAUUGCAGUUUCCUUGUGUUAUUCUAGAGACGGAUUGCUCACGAGUGUUCCAAGCUUUAGUUGAGCAGUUUUCGAGGCCUAAUGGUUUUGGGUUAAUAAUUGAUGAAUGUCGAGCUUUACCUAUGUCUAUAGGAGAGUGCAAUUCUCAUUUGUGCGUCGAUCUGCGAACCUACCUGCUCACUUUAUUGCAAGAACAGGAGGUUCUAUGUCAGGUGCUCAAGAAUUAAAUUUUGUUCCACCUUUGAGGUUAUUAAACAGUUUGUAAUUCGCUUUGUUUAAUGAAAUUGCUUUCCUUAAAAAAAAAAAAACAUUAAAGUGAAAUUAGUUUUAGAUGUGACGUCCAAUAUCUAGCUUAAUUAAUUACAAAUAUAUUGUUAGACAUUUUUUGAAAAUAUUUUGAUGGGUCGUGUUAAAGGGUUUGGCCAACACAUGGCACGUUAUCCGUUUAAUAAUUCUUUCAUUAAUUUGAUAAAUGGAUUAAGAAUAUAAACUUUAAUACGAUAAAAAAAAUGUUGAUUCGAAAACAAUUCAUUUAAUAAUUUUGGAUUUUUUAUUUGUGUCACAUUAUAUUGAGAUAUUUUACCGAGAAUUGACCUAAGUGAGUUUUCCUAGAAUUCUACUUGUGAAAAUAUAUCAAUAGAAUCGUAAAAGGGAAUUCUGCCGGUUGAAAAAAAAAUGUAAAAGAGACAAUAAAAAUUUGAAAUCAUAACUGAAAUUAGCCGUCGUCCGUCACCACCCUAGCUCCGGUGUCACCGUUUGGUAGGCAAAGUGGUGUUGGGUACUCCUUCAGAGUUAUUGUUAUUAUUUUCAGCCUUUGGAGAUUUUAUUUUGUGGUUGUUUGUUUAUUUAAUUUUAUUUUUUUGGCUGAUGGGAAGCAAUUUAAACAAUUUAAAUAAGUUUGCUUUUUAAUUUGAGGAGUUUAUAUGUUAUGAUUGCACAUUGGUUGCGGCUAGGAAUUUGGUUCUUUCCUUGUUGCAUUCUUUUUUGCUAUGAUUCAAAACGUUUUCUCUUGUAGGAACUUUCAGAGAUAGAGAGAAAGGAAAAAAAAUUAAAGACGAUUGUAGUAAGUAGCCGACAGAUGGAGUCUCUUUCUUGCAUUACAGGUUACUUGGCUAUACUAUUAUACUCCUUCCAAAUUAUUAUUAUUAUUAUUAUUAUUAUUUGAUGUUUAGUUUGCUAAUAUAAUUGCUGGGUUUGUUAAUUCCCCAGACAAGAAUUCGUUUCUGCACUGUAAUAAGAAAAUAAAAAGAGAGAUUGUGAGUGAAGAUUAUACUUGCGUUCAUGAUCGCCUCAGUGAACUCUCUGAUCAUGUUCUUGUAAAUGUCUUAUCUUGCUUGACUAUACAAGAAGCAGCAAGGACCAGCAUACUAUCAAGUAGAUGGAGAUAUUUAUGGAAGUGGUUUACUGGUUGUUUGAACUUUCACAAUUCACUCACAACGGCGGCCCAUAAAUUUGAAUUGAGAGAUGAUAAGGUGUUUGAUGUAGAAAGGCGCAAGUUUGUGAGUUGGGUCAAUCAAGUUUUAAGAUCACUUCAAAGUCGCACCAUGGAAGAGUUAAGGAUUCGUUUUGAUGUAACCUCUGACGAUGAUAUACAUAAUUGGAUCAAAUUUGCAGUAGAAAAGAAAGUUGGAAGGCUUGAGUUGAACUUUAGAAGAUUUCUGGCUGGUCGUUGGGAAGUUGGCCAAUACAAUUUUCCACCACAUUUUGUUAGUUAUUCCAGCUUCUGUUCUCUUACAGAAUUAAGUUUGAUAAAUGUAGCUAUAACAGGAGAUGUUCUUGCACAUUUGCUGUCUUACUGCCCCCUUCUUGAGGUUUUAAGUGUUAUUCAAUCAGUAUGUCUGAAGCAUCUUAAAGUUUCUGGUUCGUUACUGAAGCUGAAGUACUUAAAGUUAGGUUAUUUGGAGUGUCUUGAAAUUGAUGCCCCGAAUCUCAUAUCUUUUGAAUUUAACGGACCAGCAAAGCCUAUUUGUUUAGGAAAAGUUCGUCUUGUUGAGGUAUCUUUUGGUGGCUCUUUUAGCAACUACAUCAUGAAAAACCUAUGCUGGCUUUCAAGUUUUCUUGUGCGAUUGCAUACUCUUAAAUUGAACCUAGCUUUGCCAGUAAGUGUGCCUUACCUUUAUAUUCACUGCAAUUGUCAUUGAUUCUUUGGCCUUAAAAUUUUGUUGGUGUUGAUGUGUUUUUGUUUCUUAUUUUAUCAAGUGGAAGGUGUAUCCAGUACCUGAGGUGGCCGUCUAUUAUAAUCUUCCUGAGUUAUAUAAUCUGAAGCAUUUGGAGAUGGAAAUAGAUUUAUUAGAUGAUGAUCACCUCCUUCCUUGUGCAUCUUUCUUGAAUGCAGCUACUUCAUUAUAUAAGUUUACACUGAAGGUAAUUUUUUUCUUGAUUUCUUGAUGAAUAAUGUUUUUCAUAACAUAGAUGUGCUUUUAGUUUUAAUGGUGCAGAAUAUAAUCAUUGCGUUUAUAUUUUGGGAAUAUUUUGUUGACAUGACUGUCUUUGCCCUUGGUCUCAGUUAUAUGAUGUAAAGCCAUUUGCUGAAUGGGUACAGACUAUCAAGGAUCACAUAUAUUCAAGUCUUAGUGAAUUAAUAAGCAUUAGGGAGUUGGAAGUGGUAGGAUUGGAAGGGUGUGGAGCUGAUACGGAUUUUGUGAUAUGUUUGAUUGAGAAUGCUGAACUGUUGGAGAAGAUAAUUAUUGAUCCUUGUAAAACAUGGAUUCUGGGAACUCCUUAUGAAUCUAGUUACAGGGAAUGUGCUGAAUAUCAAUCCAACAGAAGGCAAGCUAUUCAGUUGGCAGCAAGACUUCCUUUAUGGGAAUUUGUCAUACUGUAGAUAAAUAAAUUAUUGUGAAUUAUUGAUUGGAGUGCGAUCUGUCGUUAUUGGUAAUUUUUAUCAUUAGAUUGGAAAUGAACAAAACCCCAUUGUUUUCAUUUUCUAGUUACUGCUAUUAACGGAAUUAAUGCUGAGCAUGGUACUUUCUAAUGGUAAGUUGAUGAAAGUGUCACAAUAUUUAUUAUUUAAUUUGCUUUUACGAGUGCUAUAUGUAUAUAUAUAUAUAGCUAAGCCGCACGGUUUAAUAGCAUUAAUAAUUAUUAUAUUGUUAAAUUACUCGGGUUAAUAUUUUUUCGGACUUCAACAAAAUCUAAAAUUCUAUAUUAGAAUAUUUCUCUCUCUAUAUAUAUAUAUAUAUAUAUGAAGCAGAGGAAAAGAGAAGAAGAAACAUUUGCUUAGUCUGUAUAGUAGUCUGUAUAGUAGCCCGCGUAAAGUCAAAAACUGCAGAACAUCACAAUUUCAAAUUUAACACUCAAACUAAAAUGUAGUUAGAAAAUUUCAUAGAAUACUAAAACUGGUUUCAAAAAUUGAGCUGAAGAUGUAAUCUGAGACAAUAUUUGGAUGGUCAGUCUAGCACAAUUCUCUGACCGCCGCAAAGACUUCAGUAGUGAACAGACAUGCCUAUUUUCAAUUUUAAGAGUGCUAAAAUCUCAGUUUUAUCUCUCUUCCUUUCUAAAGGUUUUACGUUUUACACCGAUGUAGUUUAAAUUUCACAUGUGAAUAUCUAUUUUGUAUCUGAGAUCGUUGAACUGUGACCCAAAUAUGAAGUUUCGAAAUACUGAGUGAUUCAAAUUAAAUAAUUGGUUAUGUCAAAUGAAAGGCGGCAACCGUAGAACACAAGCCACAAAGGCUGAUGCUUCUUUUCCAAUCUAGACUAUAUAUUGAACUUAUCACAACUUUCCUAAUUUUGACAACUUUUGGUGGAGUCUAGUUGCACUGCUCCUAAAUCUAAUACUUAGAAGGAUUCUUUAAUUCCAUGAGAUGCUUUGUUCAAGUAAUUUUUUAUUAGUCUUCCUACUGAACCUGAUAUGGACAGUGCAUAUAUUUUUCCUCAAACAUAAUAUACCUUCAUUGGUUGGUAAUUAGACUAUUCAAUUCACUUUCAUAGGCAAACUUUUAAAUAUCAUGUGCAAGCUGCGUUGUAUAUACCAAUCAGCAAGUGAAAAUUUGAAAAACCUUUUAGCAUAGAAUUAUAAGAUUCAAUAAUAAUUUUGCUAACUUACGCUUCCAAUAUGAACCAGGAGUAUACGUCGGUGAUGGAAUGGUGAUCCAUUUCACUCGGGAAGCAGGUCAGGAAAUUGGCACUGGAACUGUUUUAGACCGUAUCAUUUUUAGUUCAUCUCCUGCUCGUCCUUCAGAUAAUCCAUGUCCCAGGUGUGGCGAUUACUGGAGGGAUGACGGAGUCAUCCUAUCCUGCAUUGACUGUUUUCUUUACGGUGGUGAGCUUUACCUCUUUGAGUAUGAUGUCUCACCAGCUCUCUUUCUCGCCAAACCUCGAGGAGGGACUUGCACACUUGCCAAAUCUGAUCCACCAGAAGAUGUCGUCCAUCGUGCCAAUUUCCUCCUCCAGAAUGGUUUUGGUGUCUACCAUGUGUUCAAUAACAACUGUGAGGACUUUGCAAUCUACUGUAAA
rnacentral:lncRNA from 1 species